AUAUGAUAUAAAAAACACGAUAUUUAAAAUUAACACUCAUCUUAUUCAUACUUACAAGAAAAGAAUACUUUUUUUACAUCCAAGAACUACCAAACAUACAAAUCUAAGUUUUACUUCCAUUUUCUCACAGUUGUUUUGGUAAGUUUUUGAAAAUUCAACUAAAAGGGAUAAUUUUGGAGGUGCUAUUCUGAACUUGCCUAUUAAGAAGAUCAUGUAUUUUUCGAUUCUCAAAUCCAUAAAA